AUAAACUCAGUGACGAAGAGGAGUAGGCAUGUGACGCGCGCGACAGAGAGCCGGGAGGGUGAGAGCCGGCGCCGCUUAUCAUGCCGAAUGGACUUCAGAGAGGCAGCAGGAAAUGGCUGCCCGGCUUCCGCCGUUACCGGAUACUGGACAGGAACUUCUUUUGUCCGGACAAAGAGGGAGCUUUUUAGCUUCAACGAGAGGUGGCACCGCGGGUAACCCGUCCUCCGC
rnacentral:ncRNA from 1 species